UCUUACAAGUUUCAUUGCAAAUUGUUCAAAAUAAAAAAAAAUAUUUUCAUUUAAAACGAAAUGAAAACAUUUUAUAUUUAUUUUAAACAAAAUUUGCAAUGAAACUUACAAAAAAAGUUGUUUUGGGGUAAUAAAACACAGGUUUUGUUAACAUUUUUAUUGUACACUUGAGUAACAUAACAAAUUAAAUUUUUCAAAAAAUUGAAUCAGUCAGUGUUGGCAUGUUUUGCCUGUCUGCUCCAGACUUAAAACAAAAUAAGGCCUCCUUUGCAAUGACUUUUACCUUGUCUGUCAGCAAACAGUUGCCCGCGCUACAACCACGAGGAGGUACAUGCAGUGCACUGACACACUUGAGCGCAAAUAAGAAACUUAAAAGAUCCUCAAUUUUGCAGGCAUUCCUCCACAAUUCGUGAAGCUUUGGAUUCUUAGGGAAGGUGAAGAAAUGCUUGUUGGCAUGUCCUUUGUUGGGAACAUAACCACUGGUGCAUCCGGGGUAUUUGCAGGAAUAUUUGCGAUAACCAGCCAUGACUAAAGUUCGCUUGAGUAGUAGAAAUCAAAAAUCCGUCACCCCAGCCCAGAGACCAAUGCCUUUAAAAUAGAAAGAAACACCAAUCAAAAAGAUGAAGUUAUGUUAACAAAAGAAGAGAUACUUAUCUUUUUGGUCGGUGCUCAACACCAGGAAUUGACUCACUAACGAACUGUAAUCAGAAUUUUUGCUUUGAUUAAACGAUUAAACAAAUAA